UACAGAGGUCUCAAGCGUUGUUCGGAUUCAUUGGGCGUAAAGGGUGCGUAGGUGGCGCUGUAAGUCGGGUGUGAAAUUUCGGAGCUUAACUCCGAAACUGCAUUCGAUACUGCGGUGCUUGAGGACUGGAGAGGAGACUGGAAUUCAUGGUGUAGCAGUGAAAUGCGUAGAGAUCAUGAGGAACACCAGUGGCGAAGGCGGCUCACUGGCCCGUAACUGACGCUGAGGUGCGAAAGCGUGGGGGAGCAAACAGG
rnacentral:rRNA from 1 species